GUGAGGAAUAUUGGACAAUGGGCGCAAGCCUGAUCCAGCCAUGCCGCGUGCAGGAAGACGCAUCUAUGGUGUGUAAACUGCUUUUGUACGGGAAGAAACACUCCCUCGUGAGGGAGCUUGACGGUACCGUAAGAAUAAGGAUCGGCUAACUCCGUGCCAGCAGCCGCGGUAAUACGGAGGACCCAAGCGUUAUCCGGAAUCAUUGGGUUUAAAGGGUCCGUAGGCGGUUUAAUAAGUCAGUGGUGAAAGCCCAUCGCUCAACGAUGGAACGGCCAUUGAUACUGUUAGACUUGAAUUACAAGGAAGUAACUAGAAUAUGUAGUGUAGCGGUGAAAUGCUUAGAUAUUACAUGGAAUACCAAUUGCGAAGGCAGGUUACUACUUGUGGAUUGACGCUGAUGGACGAAAGCGUGGGGAGCGAACAGGAUUAGAAACCCGUGUAGUCC
rnacentral:rRNA from 1 species